UACACAUGCAAGUCGAACGAUGAAGUUCCUUCGGGGAUGGAUUAGUGGCGAACGGGUGAGGAACACGUGAAGAAUCUGCCCUCCACUUUGGGAUAACUCCGGGAAACCGGGGCUAAUACCGAAUAUUGAAACAUAGACGGCAUCGUCGAGUUUUGAAAGAAUUUCGGUGGAGGACGACUUCGCGGCCUAUCAGCUUGUUGGUAAGGUAAUGGCUCACCAAGGCGACGACGGGUCGCCGGCCUGAGAGGGCGACCGGCCACACUGGGACUGAGACACGGCCCAGACUCCUACGGGAGGCAGCAGUGGGGAAUAUUGGGCAAUGGACGCAAGUCUGACCCAGCGACGCCGCGUGCGGGAUGAAGGCCUUCGGGUUGUAAACCGCUUUCAGCAGGGAAGAAGCGAAAGUGACGGUACCCUGCAAAAGAAGCACCGGCUAACUAUGUGCCAGCAGCCGCGGUAAUACAUAGGGUGCAAGCGUUGUCCGGAAUUAUUGGGCGUAAAGAGCUCG
rnacentral:rRNA from 1 species